AUUGAACGCUGGCGGCAUGCUUUACACAUGCAAGUCGAACGGUAACAGGCCGCAAGGUGCUGACGAGUGGCGAACGGGUGAGUAAUGCAUCGGAACGUGCCCAGUCGUGGGGGAUAACGCAGCGAAAGCUGCGCUAAUACCGCAUACGAUCUAUGGAUGAAAGCGGGGGACCGUAAGGCCUCGCGCGAUUGGAGCGGCCGAUGUCGGAUUAGGUAGUUGGGGGGGUAAAGGCUCACCAAGCCAACGAUCUGUAGCUGGUCUGAGAGGACGACCAGCCACACUGGGACUGAGACACGGCCCAGACUCCUACGGGAGGCAGCAGUGGGGAAUUUUGGACAAUGGGCGCAAGCCUGAUCCAGCAAUGCCGCGUGCAGGAAGAAGGCCUUCGGGUUGUAAACUGCUUUUGUACGGAACGAAAAGGCUCUGGUUAAUACCUGGGGCUCAUGACGGUACCGUAAGAAUAAGCACCGGCUAACUACGUGCCAGCCGCCGCCGUAAUAC
rnacentral:rRNA from 1 species